UACGGAGGGUGCGAGCGUUGUCCGGAAUCACUGGGCGUAAAGUGUGCGCAGGCGGCAGAGCAAGUCGAGUGUGAAAGCCCCGGGCUUAACUUGGGAAUUGCGCUCGAAACUACUUUGCUGGAGUGUGGCAGAGGAAGGUGGAAUUCCACGUGUAGCGGUGAAAUGCGUAGAGAUGUGGAGGAACACCAAUGGCGAAGGCAGCCUUCUGGGCCAACACUGACGCUCAUGCACGAAAGCGUGGGGAGCAAACAGG
rnacentral:rRNA from 1 species